rnacentral:lncRNA from 1 species
GGUACCCUAUCUAUUUUGAGAUUUUCUUUGCAAGAAUCGUUGCACACUUCAUCAGAUUCAACAAAGAGCAACCUAGUUCGGUCCACGGCCGACCUCGUCGACUAUUUACUGAAGUUUUACAACAAUAAAUUGGUGCUAGAGAAAGGAUUUUUUUUAAAAAAAUCCUGAUGAAAAUGUUGAAUAAGAAGGCACCGAAUCAUUCUUUACCUACUUCAUCUUCUCCUGAAGAUGUUCAAAAAUUUAUCCAACCAUCAAUUACUAUUGAUCCACAAUAAUUCAAUCUCUUGAUCCAGUAGAUCCAAGCCCUUACCACUACAGUACAGCAACUCCAGCAUACUACAGAAUGACAGCAAGAAGCAGCCCCCCAAGUAGUUCAAUCACAUCAUUUUCAGCAAUCAACUCCUCAAAAUCCUCACCAUGAUCAUCUUCUUGAUCUUAUUGAUCAGUUUUGGGAAGCAGAAUUUGCUCUCCAUAAGAAGCUGAGUACGAAAGAAGGUCUUGGACAAAAGAUCUAAGAUCUUGAGAAAAAAUUGAUGGAGAUAC